AUUGAACGCUGGCGGCAUGCCUUACACAUGCAAGUCGAACGGUAACAGGUCUUCGGAUGCUGACGAGUGGCGAACGGGUGAGUAAUACAUCGGAACGUGCCCGAUCGUGGGGGAUAACUGCUCGAAAGAGCAGCUAAUACCGCAUACGAUCUACGGAUGAAAGCGGGGGAUCGCAAGACCUCGCGCGGACGGAGCGGCCGAUGGCAGAUUAGGUAGUUGGUGGGAUAAAAGCUUACCAAAGCCGACGAUCUGUAGCUGGUCUGAGAGGACGACCAGCCACACUGGGACUGAGACACGGCCCAGACUCCUACGGGAGGCAGCAGUGGGGAAUUUUGGACAAUGGGCGAAAGCCUGAUCCAGCCAUGCCGCGUGCAGGAUGAAGGCCUUCGGGUUGUAAACUGCUUUUGUACGGAACGAAAGACUCCUUCUAAUAAAGGGGUCCAUGACGGUACCGUAAGAAUAAGCACCGGCUAACUACGUGCCAGCAGCCGCGGUAAUAC
rnacentral:rRNA from 1 species